GAUGAACGCUGGCGGCGUGCCUAAUACAUGCAAGUCGAGCGAACAGACGAGGCGCUUGCUCCUCUGACGUUAGCGGCGGACGGGUGAGUAACACGUGGAUAACCUACCUAUAAGACUGGGAUAACUUCGGGAAACCGGAGCUAAUACCGGAUAAUAUAUUGAACCGCAUGGUUCAAUAGUGAAAGACGGUUUUGCUGGCACUUAUAGAUGGAUCCGCGCCGCAUUAGCUAGUUGGUAAGGUAACGGCUUACCAAGGCGACGAUGCGUAGCCGAGCUGGGAGAGUGGUCGGCGACCUGGGAAGUGAGCCACGGUCCAGACUCCUACGGGAGGCAGCAGUAGGGAAUCGUCCGCAAUGGGCGAAAGCCUGACGGAGCAACGCCGAGUGAGUGAUGAAGGUCUUCGGAUCGGAAAACUCUGUUAUGAGUGAAGAACAAAUGUGUAAGUAACUAUGCACGUCUUGACGGUACCUAGUCAGAAAGCCACGGCUAACUACGUG
rnacentral:rRNA from 1 species